rnacentral:lncRNA from 1 species
GCACCUCUAGCUCAGCACGUCGGGUAGGGCACUAACUCGUGACGCCCUUGCCUCGAUCCUGGUCCACGGACGGUGCAGCAGCCGGAACCUGUGGCUCUGCAGAAACAUAGGUAACAACUGGGCGUGAGAACUACUGUAAAAACAAGUAGUCCUCAGUGGGUACCGCCCAAAACAACAUCGGUCACCCACUAAGUCUACAGAAGGGAGCAAGAAUAGUAGGAAAAGCAGGAAGUACACUCUACCGCUAUCAAUCACUACACUAUCAUGCUCUACACUAACCAACUGUAGGACAUUUCAAAUCUGACCUAAUCCAAUCGUGACUGUAAGUAUACCCGUCCCCUGGACUGUGAAUACACCCGUCCCUGCCCCGUUGCGACUAUCAAGCUCUAUCCACACUAACUGGUCCGUGGAGAGCAAGUCCAACUGGCAUGAGCGACACCAACGCGAAAGCACAAGCCUGACUCCGGAGUGGCACUCGUGGGCGCUACCCAACCGAGUAUGCAGCGUAUCUCUGUCGAGCUCAAUCAGGCUCCAACUAGCCAAAGUCAAGAAAUCGACUCAAACUGGUCUAACAACCAACAGGUAACGUGCCCUCGGCACAAUCUGACGCCAAAAAGGCGAUACGGGUCCACCGUCAAUUCUGACGGCACCCAACAGUCCGGAACAACCUGAGCGACCCUGUAAAAAUCCACUCGGCAUACCAGCACGAGCGUAAAUGUAUUCUAAACUACCUGGAGUACUCGUCUCGAAGAUACUUCGAUAGUACAAUUUACUACGGCUCCUAAAGCUAAAUCAGGCAGUUUAGUCAAGUGACAGGUCCAAAUCGCAGGUUUUCUCCUAAUUCAGUUUCCAAGUCCAACAUAUAUAAUCUACUUAAUUUAUUACCACAUGCUCCAAAUUCAGAUUUGCAUUCUAUCAUAUAAUCCAUGAAUUCGAGCUAGAAUAA